AACGAACGCUGGCGGCAUGCCUAACACAUGCAAGUCGAACGAGGCCUUCGGGUCUAGUGGCGCACGGGUGCGUAACGCGUGGGAACCUGCCCUUAGGUUCGGAAUAACUCCCCGAAAGGGGUGCUAAUACCGGAUAAUGUCUUCGGACCAAAGAUUUAUCGCCUUUGGAUGGGCCCACGUUGGAUUAGCUAGUUGGUAGGGUAAAAGCCUACCAAGGCGACGAUCCAUAGCUGGUCUCAGAGGAUGAUCAGCCACACUGGGACUGAGACACGGUCCAGACUCCUACGGGAGGGAACAGUGGGGAAUAUUGGAAAAUGGGGGAGUGCCUGAUGCAGCCAGGCGGCGGGUGUGAAGAAGGUCUUCGGAUUCGAAAGUGAUUGAAGUUGGGAGGAAGGGAAGUAAGUUAAUACCUUGCUGUUUUGACGUUGCAGAAAGAAUAAGCACCGGCUAGCUCUGUG
rnacentral:rRNA from 1 species